UACGGAGGGUGCAAGCGUUGUUCGGAAUUACUGGGCGUAAAGAGCGUGUAGGCGGUUAAGCAAGUCAGAUGUGAAAGCCUUCCGCUUAACGGGAGAAUGGCAUUUGAAACUACUUAGCUAGAGUUCGGGAGAGGAGAGUGGAAUUCCCGGUGUAGAGGUGAAAUUCGUAGAUAUCGGGAGGAACACCGGUGGCGAAGGCGGCUCUCUGGUCCGGUACUGACGCUGAGACGCGAAAGCGUGGGGAGCAAACAGG
rnacentral:rRNA from 1 species